UACGUAGGGAGCAAGCGUUGUCCGGAAUCAUUGGGCGUAAAGCGCGCGUAGGCGGCCCUGUAAGUCCGUUGUGAAAGUCAAAGGCUCAACCUUUGAAAGCCGAUGGAUACUGCAGGGCUAGAGUCCGGAAGAGGCGAGUGGAAUUCCUGGUGUAGCGGUGGAAUGCGCAGAUAUCAGGAGGAACACCAAUAGCGAAGGCAGCUCGCUGGGACGGUACUGACGCUAAGGCGCGAAGGCGUGGGGAGCAAACAGG
rnacentral:rRNA from 1 species